rnacentral:tRNA from 1 species
UGCGUCUGAUAGCUCAGUCAUUAGAGCACGAGACUCUUAAUCUCAGGGCUGUGUGUUUGAGCCCCACAUUGGGCAA